CACCGCGGUUAUACGAGAGGCUCAAAUUGAUGUAUUACGGCGUAAAGCGUGAUUAGGGAAAACACAAACUAAAGCCGAACACCUUCUUAACUGUUAUACGUUUAAAGAGGCACGAAGCCCCCCAACGAAAGUGGCUUUAACCCACAACCCUGAACUCACGAAAAUUAAGAAA
rnacentral:rRNA from 1 species